rnacentral:rRNA from 1 species
UUAACCNUAGUACGCUUUGGAAACUGUUUAACUUGAGUGCAGAAGGGGAGAGUGGAAUUCCAUGUGUAGCGGUGAAAUGCGUAGAUAUAUGGAGGAACACCGGUGGCGAAAGCGGCUCUCUGGUCUGUAACUGACGCUGAGGUUCGAAAGCGUGGGGAGCGAACAGGAUUAGAUACCCUGGUAGUNCACGCCGUAAACGAUGAGUGCUAGGUGUUAGGCCCNUUCCGGGGCUUAGUGCCGCAGCUAACGCAUUAAGCACUCCGCCUGGGGAGUACGACCGCAAGGUUGAAACUCAAAGGAAUUGACGGGGGCCCGCACAAGCGGUGGAGCAUGUGGUUUAAUUCGAAGCAACGCGAAGAACCUUACCAGGUCUUGACAUCCCGAUGCCCGCUCUAGAGAUAGAGUUUUACUUCGGUACAUCGGUGACAGGUGGUGCAUGGUUGUCGUCAGCUCGUGUCGUGAGAUGUUGGGUUAAGUCCCGCAACGAGCGCAACCCUUAUUGUUAGUUGCCAUCAUUCAGUUGGGCACUCUAGCGAGACUGCCGGUAAUAAACCGGAGGAAGGUGGGGAUGACGUCAAAUCAUCAUGCCCCUUAUGACCUGGGCUACACACGUGCUACAAUGGCUGGUACAACGAGUCGCAAGUCGGUGACGGCAAGCUAAUCUCUUAAAGCCAGUCUCAGUUCGGAUUGUAGGCUGCAACUCGCCUACAUGAAGUCGGAAUCGCUAGUAAUCGCGGAUCAGCACGCCGCGGUGAAUACGUUCCCGGGCCUUGUACACACCGCCCGUCACACCACGAGAGUUUGUAACACCCGAAGUCGGUGAGGUANCCUUUUAGGA